ACAUCUAGCCUAGUUGGUAGAGUACAAGACUCUUACUCUUAUGGUCAAGGGAUCAAACCUCUUCAUGGA
rnacentral:tRNA from 1 species